rnacentral:RNase_P_RNA from 3 species
CCAGUUGGCCGGGCAGCCGCGCUUUACCAAUGCCGAAAGGCGGUAGGGUGAGGAAAGUCCGGGCUCCACGGAAACACGGUGCCGGAUAACGUCCGGCGGGGGCGACCUCAGGGAAAGUGCCACAGAAAGCAAACCGCCUCGCUCGCGAGGUAAGGGUGAAAGGGUGGGGUAAGAGCCCACCGCGUCGCUGGCAACAGGGACGGCACGGUAAACCCCACCGGGAGCAAGACCGAAUAGGGAUGACGCGGGUCACGCGCAAGCGCGGCCACAGCCUGUUUCCGGGCCAGUCAUCCGGGUGGGUUGCGUGAGGCAGCGUGCAAACGCUGUCCCAGAUGAAUGGCUGCCACGUUCCGGGCGACCGGAGCCAUACAGAACCCGGCUUACAGGCCAACUGGCGAU